CUCGCCCGCGACUCGGCGAGAAGUCCAUUGAACCUUAUCAUUUAGAGGAAGGAGAAGUCGUAACAAGGUUUCCGUAGGUGAACCUGCGGAAGGAUCAUUG
rnacentral:rRNA from 1 species